AACACAUACCAUCCUGAAUGUUCUUCCAAAAGAACAUGUACAGAAAAUGCUGUCCUUCUGCCAGAAUACAGGCUCCUUGCCAACCCCCACCACUCUCCACCUUGAGACCAAACACUCAGCAAGCUGAAGCUUGCAGGCCACGGUGACUGGCUCCAUGCUGCCUUGGGAAGCCCUACAUGACCUCUACAUGGUCCUUCUUCAGUAUGUGAAGUACAGAGGCAACACCAGGACAUUUUGAAGGGCAAAAGAAGGUUCAAUGGGGCAAUUUCCAAGGCAUCUUGCUCCACUGCUGGUAAGCAAUUAGCAGGCUUUCUACAGGGACUUCUCAAAAGAGGAUCCAGAAGGCAGGCUCAGCAUUGCAGCCUGGCUGCAGGCCACAGUGUGGCAGACGCAUGUAUUCAUGGGCAUGUCAAAUACAUCACUUCAAUACGAAAUUCAUAGGCCCAACAUUCAUCUGCGAGAUUGAACACUGGGUAGCUCAAAAGCUAGUCUUCUGAAAGCAUCCUACAAAACACCCGAAGUUGCCGUUCCAGAAUUGCUAUAAUUUCACGACUGUGCAAGCUGUACUAGUAGUACACAGGCAAAGGGAUAGAAAAAAGAUUAUAUUAAUGCUCAAGGGGGAAAAGCAAGAUUAUAAAGGACUUAGCAGAGCUAUGUUCUGAUAAUAAACCAAGAGCAUUUAGGACCCAACCUAGAAAAAAAUGGAUUUACAGCCGAAGUCUUUCCUGUUUGGGGCUACAGCAUCAUUCUGUCAUUCUAACCACAUUUAUCCUGAACCUCCCCCCACCACCCGCUGCCCAUGUGCUGGCCACCGUGCUGGGAUCAACAAAACUGAAUGAGACACAGGACCUGAUACUGGGGAGCUGACCAUCUAGCAGGUGACGUAUGGAUGGAUGAAGCAUCUUAGGACAUCUAAAGAAAGAGAUCACUCCUCCAUACUGAUCCUAAAGUUGACCUCCAGAUAACAUUCUGUCACAUGCAUGUGCACCAGAGAUGGGGAGAACACACAGAAUGGGUAAGAGUAGCUCAGCCCACACAUUAGUAUGCAAAAUAGUCAGAGGCAGUGUCUGAUACUGCCACAACUGUUUAGGUGCAUGAAUUCUACAAUUUGUAAAAACUCAUUGUUUUUCACCUAGUAUAUGUAAGAAUUGAAUAAUAACACAGAGAAAUAAAUUCUAGCAUUAAAGAAUAAACCAGAAAUCUCCUUAAAGGAACACAAGUAACAAAGCCUGGCAGGGGUGGGAAACAGCAGAAAUUACCACAUUUUGCUUGGAUCUUGAAAAUUGUGAAUUCUCAGUGAAGUCCAAUUUUCACUUUUUA
rnacentral:lncRNA from 1 species